rnacentral:rRNA from 1 species
AUUGAACGCUGGCGGCAUGCCUUACACAUGCAAGUCGAACGGCAGCACGGGUGCUUGCACCUGGUGGCGAGUGGCGAACGGGUGAGUAAUACAUCGGAACAUGUCCUGUAGUGGGGGAUAGCCCGGCGAAAGCCGGAUUAAUACCGCAUACGAUCUACGGAUGAAAGCGGGGGACCUUCGGGCCUCGCGCUAUAGGGUUGGCCGAUGGCUGAUUAGCUAGUUGGUGGGGUAAAGGCCUACCAAGGCGACGAUCAGUAGCUGGUCUGAGAGGACGACCAGCCACACUGGGACUGAGACACGGCCCAGACUCCUACGGGAGGCAGCAGUGGGGAAUUUUGGACAAUGGGCGAAAGCCUGAUCCAGCAAUGCCGCGUGUGUGAAGAAGGCCUUCGGGUUGUAAAGCACUUAUGUCCGGAAAGAAAUCCUUGGCCCUAAUACGGUCGGGGGAUGACGGUACCGGAAGAAUAAGCACCGGCUAACUACGUG